CCUACGGGAGGCAGCAGUGGGGAAUAUUGGACAAUGGGGGCAACCCUGAUCCAGCCAUGCCGCGUGAGUGAUGAAGGCCUUCGGGUUGUAAAGCUCUUUUGGCGGGGACGAUGAUGACGGUACCCGCAGAAUAAGCCCCGGCUAACUUCGUGCCAGCAGCCGCGGUAAGACGAAGGGGGCUAGCGUUGUUCGGAAUUACUGGGCGUAAAGCGAGUGUAGGUGGUUGUCCAAGUUGGAUGUGAAAGCCUUGAGCUCAACUCAAGAAAUGCAUUCAGGACUGGGCGGCUAGAGGACCGGAGAGGAUAGUGGAAUUCCCAGUGUAGUGGUGAAAUACGUAGAGAUUGGGAAGAACACCAGUGGCGAAGGCGGCUAUCUGGACGGUUUCUGACACUAAGACUCGAAAGCGCGGGGAGCAAACAGGAUUAGAUACCCUGGUAGUCCACGCCGUAAACGAUGGGUGCUAGACGUUGGCGAGCUUGCUCGUCAGUGUCGCNGCUAACGACGUUAACGUACACCCGCCGUCGGGUAGGUACGGCCGGCGAACGGUAGUAAACGUACGAAAGAAGUAGUAAGGUACGUGUUAGAGUAGUUCGACGACGACGACGACGGAGGGAGGAG
rnacentral:rRNA from 1 species